GACGCCGAAGGUGGGGCUAAUGACUGGGGUGAAGUCGUAACAAGGUAGCCGUACCGGAAGGUGCGGCUGGAUCACCUCCUAACAGGGAGACAAAACUGAUUGUGAUGCCUGAAUAAAAUAUUUUUAGGUCAUAAUCCUGUCACCUUAGGUCGAUCGGUACCUCAGUUUAUUAAUAGUAAAUAUGAGAAAUCAUGUUUUCUUUUUAAAUUCAGUUCCUAAACUUUUUGUCUAGGUCACACCCAGCAAUGGUUCUCCUGGGCCAUUAGCUCAGGUGGUUAGAGCGCACCCCUGAUAAGGGUGAGGUCCCUGGUUCAAGUCCAGGAUGGCCCAUUCGGUGUUGGGGGUAUAGCUCAGUUGGUAGAGCGCCUGCUUUGCAAGCAGGAUGUCAGCGGUUCGAGUCCGCUUACCUCCACUGAUCAACCUUCUUAUAGCGAAAUUUAGGGAGAUUAAUUGUUGUGUGAUCUAGCGUUUGUUCUCUAUGAAUGAGUGAACCUAGCUUCUUGUCAUUCCUAACUAAAAGUUAAUUCUUUAUGGUUGAUAAGACGCUGGGCUCUCUGCAAAUUUUUGCAGAAUAGUUCAGUAGAACCUUGACAACUGCAUAGGUGAGUCUGGAAAAAAUAAAGCAUCUCAUGGAUGCAUUAUUUUUUUAAUCUUAGUGAAUUUUCUCAUGGAAAAUCUCACUUAAGUUUUUUGAAUAAUGUUUAAUUCUUGAGCAAGAGCCGAGACUCUAUAACGUUCUUUCUUUGCAAUUAGCAAUGAGAGUUUGAUUUUUAAUUUGAUUUCAUAAGCUUUUAAAAAACUUGAAAAAGUUUUUUAAAACUGGAAUUCACAAUUAAAAAGAAAAGUGAUAACACCACAUGGCGUUUUAGAGAUUAAUGGUCAAGCUACAAAGGGCUC
rnacentral:misc_RNA from 1 species